rnacentral:rRNA from 1 species
CAAUAGCGUAUAUUAAAGCUGUUGCGGUUAAAAAGCUCGUAGUUGGAUUUCUGCCAAGGACAACUGGUCCGCCCCUCGGGUGAGCACAUAGUUUGGUCUUGGCAUCUUGUUGGAAACUGUUGCUGCACUUGGUUGUGUGGCGCAGUGUCCAGCACUUUCACUUUGAGGAAAUUGGAGUGUUUCAAGCAGGCACAUGCCUUUGGACACAGUAGCAUGGAAUAAUUAGAUUGGGCUUUUGCUCCAACUUGUCGGUUUCUGGAGCUGAGGUGAGAAUUAAUGGGGAUUGUUGGGGGCAUCCGAAUUUAGCCGUCAGAGGUGAAAUUCUUGGAUCUGCUAAAGACGGACAACUGCGAAAGCGUUUGCCCAGGAUGUUUUCAUUGA